UUAUCUCAGAUUUGUAUGGGGUUGGAACGUUUACCUACGUUUGCCGUUAGGGGCGCUGAUUCAACUUCAUACAUAUUUGAGUUA
rnacentral:pre_miRNA from 1 species